GACGGAGGAUGCAAGCGUUAUCCGGAAUGAUUGGGCGUAAAGCGUCCGCAGGUGGCAGUUCAAGUCUGCUGUCAAAGACCGGGGCUUAACUUCGGAAAGGCAGUGGAAACUGAACAGCUAGAGUAUGGUAGGGGCAGAGGGAAUUCCUGGUGUAGCGGUGAAAUGCGUAGAGAUCAGGAAGAACAUCGGUGGCGAAGGCGCUCUGCUGGACCUAAACUGACACUGAGGGACGAAAGCUAGGGGAGCGAAUGGG
rnacentral:rRNA from 1 species